rnacentral:tRNA from 1 species
GCCCGGCUAGCUCAAUCGGUAGAGCGUGAGACUCUUAUUAUAUCUCAAGGUUGUGGGUUCGACCCCCACGUCGGGCU